CAGGCUUAACACAUGCAAGUCGAGGGGCAGCAUGGUCUUAUCUUGCUAAGGCCGACGGCGACCGGCGCACGGGUGAGUAACACGUAUCCAACCUGCCGUCUACUCUUGGACAGCCUUCUGAAAGGAAGAUUAAUACAAGAUGGCAUCAUGAGUCCGCAUGUUCACAUGAUUAAAGGUAUUCCGGUAGACGAUGGGGAUGCGUUCCAUUAGAUAGUAGGCGGGGUAACGGCCCACCUAGUCUUCGAUGGAUAGGGGUUCUGAGAGGAAGGUCCCCCACAUUGGAACUGAGACACGGUCCAAACUCCUACGGGAGGCAGCAGUGAGGAAUAUUGGUCAAUGGGCGAGAGCCUGAACCAGCCAAGUAGCGUGAAGGAUGACUGCCCUAUGGGUUGUAAACUUCUUUUAUAAAGGAAUAAAGUCGGGUAUGGAUACCCGUUUGCAUGUACUUUAUGAAUAAGGAUCGGCUAACUCCGUGCCAGCAGCCGCGGUAAUACGGAGGAUCCGAGCGUUAUCCGGAUUUAUUGGGUUUAAAGGGAGCGUAGAUGGAUGUUUAAGUCAGUUGUGAAAGUUUGCGGCUCAACCGUAAAAUUGCAGUUGAUACUGGAUAUCUUGAGUGCAGUUGAUGCAGGCGGAAUUCGUGGUGUAGCGGUGAAAUGCUUAGAUAUCACGAAGAACUCCGAUUGCGAAGGCAGCCUGCUAAGCUGCAACUGACAUUGAGGCUCGAAAGUGUGGGUAUCAAACAGGAUUAGAUACCCUGGUAGUCCACACGGUAAACGAUGAAUACUCGCUGUUUGCGAUAUACUGCAAGCGGCCAAGCGAAAGCGUUAAGUAUUCCACCUGGGGAGUACGCCGGCAACGGUGAAACUCAAAGGAAUUGACGGGGGCCCGCACAAGCGGAGGAACAUGUGGUUUAAUUCGAUGAUACGCGAGGAACCUUACCCGGGCUUAAAUUGCAGAUGAAUUACGGUGAAAGCCGUAAGCCGCAAGGCAUCUGCGAAGGUGCUGCAUGGUUGUCGUCAGCUCGUGCCGUGAGGUGUCGGCUUAAGUGCCAUAACGAGCGCAACCCUUGUUGUCAGUUACUAACAGGUUCCGCUGAGGACUCUGACAAGACUGCCAUCGUAAGAUGUGAGGAAGGUGGGGAUGACGUCAAAUCAGCACGGCCCUUACGUCCGGGGCUACACACGUGUUACAAUGGGGGGUACAGAGGGCCGCUACCACGCGAGUGGAUGCCAAUCCCCAAAACCUCUCUCAGUUCGGACUGGAGUCUGCAACCCGACUCCACGAAGCUGGAUUCGCUAGUAAUCGCGCAUCAGCCACGGCGCGGUGAAUACGUUCCCGGGCCUUGUACACACCGCCCGUCAAGCCAUGGGAGCCGGGGGUACCUGAAGUGCGUAACCGCGAGGAGCGCCCUAGGGUAAAACUGGUGAC
rnacentral:rRNA from 1 species